rnacentral:tRNA from 1 species
GCGGGGGUUGUCGAGCUUGGUCAAAGGCACUAGAUUCAGGGUCUAGUCUCGUAGGAGUUCGAGGGUUCAAAUCCCUCCCCCCGCA